rnacentral:rRNA from 1 species
AGGACGACGCUGGCGGCGCGCCUAACACAUGCAAGUCGAACGAGAGAGAGGAAGCUUGCUUCCUCAAUCGAGUGGCGGACUGGUGAGUAACGCGUGAGGAACCUGCCUUUCAGAGGGGGACAACAGUUGGAAACGACUGCUAAUACCGCAUGAUGCAUUUUGAUCGCAUGGUCGAAAUGCCAAAGAUUUAUCGCUGAAAGAUGGCCUCGCGUCUGAUUAGAUAGUUGGCGGGGUAACGGCCCACCAAGGCGACGAUCAGUAGCCGGACUGAGAGGUUGAACGGCCACAUUGGGACUGAGAUACGGCCCAGACUCCUACGGGAGGCAGCAGUGGGGAAUAUUGGGCAAUGGGCGCAAGCCUGACCCAGCAACGCCGCGUGAAGGAAGAAGGCUUUCGGGUUGUAAACUUCUUUUAAGAGGGAAGAGCAGAAGACGGUACCUCUAGAAUAAGCCACGGCUAACUACGUG